AAGUAACAAAUGCCCUGCUUCCAGGAAAAGCCUCUAAGCAUCAGGUAACACGAAAUCGUACCCCAAACCGACACAGGUGGUCAGGUAGAGAAUACCAAGGCGCUUGAGAGAACUCGGGUGAAGGAACUAGGCAAAAUGGUGCCGUAACUUCGGGAGAAGGCACGCUGAUAUGUAGGUGAAGUGAUUUACUCAUGGAGCUGAAAUCAGUCGAAGAUACCAGCUGGCUGCAACUGUUUAUUAAAAACACAGCACUGUGCAAACACGAAAGUGGACGUAUACGGUGUGACGCCUGCCCGGUGCCGGAAGGUUAAUUGAUGGGGUUAUCCGUAAGGAGAAGCUCUUGAUCGAAGCCCCGGUAAACGGCGGCCGUAACUAUAACGGUCCUAAGGUAGCGAAAUUCCUUGUCGGGUAAGUUCCGACCUGCACGAAUGGCGUAAUGAUGGCCAGGCUGUCUCCACCCGAGACUCAGUGAAAUUGAACUCGCUGUGAAGAUGCAGUGUACCCGCGGCAAGACGGAAAGACCCCGUGAACCUUUACUAUAGCUUGACACUGAACACUGGUCCUUGAUGUGUAGGAUAGGUGGGAGGCUUUGAAGUGUGGACGCCAGUCUGCAUGGAGCCAACCUUGAAAUACCACCCUUUAAUGGCUGGUGUUCUAACGUAGACCCGUAAUCCGGGUUGCGGACAGUGUCUGGUGGGUAGUUUGACUGGGGCGGUCUCCUCCUAAAGAGUAACGGAGGAGCACGAAGGUUAGCUAAUCCUGGUCGGACAUCAGGAGGUUAGUGCAAAGGCAUAAGCUAGCUUGACUGCGAGAGUGACGGCUCGAGCAGGUGCGAAAGCAGGUCUUAGUGAUCCGGUGGUUCUGAAUGGAAGGGCCAUCGCUCAACGGAUAAAAGGUACUCCGGGGAUAACAGGCUGAUACCGCCCAAGAGUUCAUAUCGACGGCGGUGUUUGGCACCUCGAUGUCGGCUCAUCACAUCCUGGGGCUGAAGUAGGUCCCAAGGGUAUGGCUGUUCGCCAUUUAAAGUGGUACGCGAGCUGGGUUUAGAACGUCGUGAGACAGUUCGGUCCCUAUCUGCCGUGGGCGCUGGAGAAUUGAGGGGGGCUGCUCCUAGUACGAGAGGACCGGAGUGGACGCAUCACUGGUGUUCGGGUUGUCAUGCCAAUGGCAUUGCCCGGUAGCUAAAUGCGGAAGAGAUAAGUGCUGAAAGCAUCUAAGCACGAAACUUGCCCCGAGAUGAGUUCUCCCUGACCCUUUAAGGGUCCUGAAGGAACGUUGAAGACGACGACGUUGAUAGGUCGGGUGUGUAAGCGUAGCGAUACGUUGAGCUAACCGAUACUAAUGAACCGUGAGGCUUAACCUU
rnacentral:rRNA from 1 species